GGGGGUUUCUGUGGACCAGCCUUUUAGAGGGGCACGGUAAACCCCAUUAUAUUCUUACCUCGAACGGAGAGGCGCGUAGGGUAUCUUCUGGGGUAAAGUUUAGGGUUCACUUCACGCUAAACCACCACGUGAGGGGGAGCUCAGCCAACGCCAAGGAACGGCUAUGUUUUCAAAACAAAAACAUGAUUUAUGUGAAAUGUGAAUUUUAAUAGCCUUGGCGGUCUCAGUAGGAUGCCUCGGCCAAGGUGUCUCCGAGAAUGGAUUUAUGGCACAAGCCUAGUUUUUAUGAGAUUCAUAAGCCUCUUUACGUGUUUUGAACAAAAUGUGUUAUAAUGCUAUAACCGAGUUUAUGAUGAUUUACUUUAUUGUCU
rnacentral:lncRNA from 1 species